rnacentral:lncRNA from 1 species
UCCUUCACUGCUGCAAAUCUAUUGCCCUUUCCCAUGCAGAAGCCACAAUGUUCGCAAUACAUGUCGAAAGGAAGCAUCAUCUUUACUUUAAACUUCUGCCUUUUCUCCUCCAUUGGCUUCUCUAAAAUCUUCUCAAACUUCAAGUCUGGUAAGGAAAAGUUCUUCGUUGCCAUGACAAAAACCCUAUAUUUCAAUGUGAAUAGAACCAGAAGAAAACUAUCGUACUUUCAAGAUUG